UCUUCACUGCACUGCGUCUUCUUUCCAAGGGUCUCGGUGAUUCGGCCACAGCCUCAGCCUCCAUCACGCGGUGAACUGAUGGUGUUGGAAGAUUCAUAGACUCCAGGACAUUCCUGAAGCCGAGAAAAGGUUAAGUAGGGUCUGGCCUGGAAUACUCUCCUAGAUGAAAAUAGCCCAACCAUGAGCCACCUUCUCAGCAGAUGAGAUGAAAUUAAAGCUCUUCAACUCCUCAAGGCCCAGAGACUAUCACAAAAGAGGUCAGAAAUCCUGAAGGUCACUUUCUGACAAACUCAGGAGCCCCAGGUUUAUCUUGGAGCCUCAAGAGGAGAUAAAUUCACCCAACUCAGGCUGGAGUGCAGUGGAAUGAUCUUGGCUCACUUCUAUCUCUGCCUUCCAGUUUCAAGUGAUUCUCCUGCCUCAGCCUACUGAGUAGUUGGGAUUACAGGUGCCUGCCACCACACCCAGCUAAUUUUUGUAUUUUUAGUAAAGAUGGGGUUUCACCAUGUUGGCCAGGCUGGUCUCAAACUCCUGAUGUCAUGAUCUGCCCGCUUCAGUCUCCCAAAGUGUGAUUACAGGUGUGAGCCACCAUGCCUGGCAAGGCAUUCUUUUUUAUUAGGGGGGCGUUGUUUAUUACCUUUUCUAUAGAAAAGUAGAGACAUUAAAAUGUAAGAUGCAUAAUAAAAAUCUAAGUGGAGAGGCUCUUAUAACCUAUAAUAUUGAGUGAUGCAUGAGGUAGGUGUUCAGAGUAAUCUGCAUUAUCAUGAGAAGAAAACAUGUUUAAUUUUAUAUAAAAUUAAAUGAGUAGUAUAUUAUUGUACUAAUUGUACUAAUUUUUUUUGAGACAGAGUUUUGCUCUUGGUGCCCAGGCUGGAGUGCAUUGGCACGAUCUCUGGCUCACUGUGACCUCUGCCUCCCAGGUUCAAGCGAUU
rnacentral:lncRNA from 1 species